UUGUUCUGGCACCCAUCUCUCCAGGGAUGCCCAGGCUGUUCUCCUGAGGCUGUUUUCCUGCCCCAUCUCUCCAGGGAUGCCCAGGCUGUUCUCCUGAGGCUGUUUUCCUGCCCCAUCUCUCCAGGGAUGCCCAGGCUGUUCUCCUGAGGCUGUUUUCCUGUCCCAUCUCUCCAGGGAUGCCCAGGCUGUUCUGGCUCCCAGCUCAGCCCCUUCCUGCCAGCAGCAGAGCCCGAGUCCCCCUGGCCAGUGCCAUUCCCUGUCCCCAGUGGCCCAGCUGGGACAAAUCUGCUGCUGGCAGCUUCCUGCCCCUCCAAGAGGAGCUGGGCCAGGUCAGGAAUGAUCCACGGCCAGGAGGAAAGGCUGGAUUGGAGCUGGGAGCACACAGACGCCAGCAGUGCCCAGCCCUGCCUGGCCUAAACGAGCUGUUUGGGACUCAUUUGUUUUUGUGGAGGUGUGUGGGCAGCCAGAGGCCCUGGUGAGGUUGGGCUGGAGGGUGAAAUGUUGCUAUUUUGGCAGAGUUUUGUCAGCCUGUUCCUUGGCUGGGUGACUCCCCUGCUGCCUGAGCCGGGCCCUCAAAGGUUUGGGAUCGUCCCUUUCCCGUCAGGGGUCAGUGUUUUUGUUUGAGUUCUUCUCAAAUUAAAGGCUGCCAGCCUCCCUUUCCCACAGGGCUGACUCGCAGCUGUUUUGGGGACGGAUUUGGCACUGCCUUAACCACUUCCAGAAACACUUGUGGGGUCUGGACUUCCCACCCCGAGCUCUGUCCACUGCAGCAGGGAGGAUUCGAGACAAAAUCCUCCUGCCCCUACAGCUGGGGCGUCCUGGAAUAAAUCCCCCUGACCCAAGGCUGAAAAGCCCUUCAUUUUCAAUAUUUCUUCUGUAAAUGUGAGGAACUUUCCCUGCUCAGAGGCUGCUCUGAUGCUCAAAUGCUUUUUGAUAAUUUAAGUGCCUAAAGUGCUUCCACACCGAGCUUCAGGUGAAGGGCUUUGGUGGGAAAGGGCUCGAAUUCUUCAUUUCAGGUGAAGGGCUUUGGUGGGAAAGGGCUCCAAUUCUUCAUUUCAGGUGAAGGGCUUUGGUGGGAAAGGGCUCCAAUUCUUCAUUUCAGGUGAAGGGCUUUGGUGGGAAAGGGCUCCAAUUCUUCACUUCAAACCCCCAGGUGAUAAAGCAGAGUCAGAGAGGGGCAGAGCCAGGGCUUAUACUGGGAGAUCAGGGUGAAGGAGCAGGAUGAUGAAGAAAUCUUCACAAAAUUGGGGUUUUUUUGGCUUCUUCUAAGAAAAUUUCUGUGUCAGGAUCACGUGUAAGACCAGCAAUGGAUGUUGUGGUCUGGGUAGGAGCAGCCCUUACCUGCUGUCACUGAUAUUCCCUGUGUGACCACAGGAUUUCUUGAGGAUUUGGUCCUGUCUGGCCACAGGUUUGGGUACGAGCUCCUCAGAGCUGGUGAGCAGGAGCUUUUCCCUUCCUCACGGGUGAAUCGUGCCUCGCCUUUCCCUUGCUGAGUUUUGGAGGAGGGAUAAAUUGCUGUGUAAAUUCCCCAGGCUCGGGAAGGACUGGGGGGAUGGAUGGAUGGAUGGAUGCUGGUUUUCCUGUUUGAGGUCACAUCCUGCCCGCGAGACGUUCGUGGUUUAUUUAUUCGGUAGAGUGAAUAUUUUGUAUACGGCGCGAGAGGAAGGCUUUUAUUAUAAAUUUUUAUGGAAAAAGUGGUGGGGG